GGGGGGGUUUUCUGAAUGAAAGUUGAAAAUAUGUAUUUUCCAGAUGUAAAUAAAUACAUAUUUCUGGACAUUGAAAAUACACAAUUUACAUAUUUGAAAAUAUAUAUUUUUCAGUCAUUGAUUCUACGGCCAAAAUUCAAAUGCAUAUACAUUCUCAAUGAAGUAAUCAUUAUUUCACAAUAUAAAUGUUUCAAGCCACUUAAUAUUGGAACGAGGAGCCAACUGAAGAUUGCAACAGAACAUGUAUUAUUGCUCCCAUCAAUAUCAUGCACUCAUAUCAGCUAUGAUGUUCAAAGUAGUCCACCCAACAGACCACUCCAACUACAAUAGCAUCCUCAGUAACGGUUACAGGUGUGUUGUUGAUUGUAACUUGCUCUGGAUAAGAGCAUCUGCUGAAUGCCCAAAAUGUAAAUGUAAAAACAAACUCUUGCAAAGCAUGCUGGGUAUUAUUCAAAUGAGCUCCGCCCCUAAACAAGUACCCAUUUGUUCCGUGCAGACCAGAUCCAAAUCUGAAAGAAUCAUAGACGUCUAAGCUGUAUUUCACAAGUUUGAACAUCACAGUACAGUACGGCACAGUUUAGUACAGUAGAGCAUAGCAGAGUACAGUACAGUUUAAUUCAGUAGAGUACAGAACAGUACAGUAUAGUUUAAUUCAGUAGAGUAGAGUACGGUAUAGUUUAAUUCAGUAGAGUAUAGUACAGUGCAGUAGAUAAAGGCUCAAAAAUAAAUUCUGGGGACUCUCCCAACACGAUGCAGACAUUCCAGAACAUCGCUAUUCAAAACCAAUGUUUUCAGGCAAAACCUUUGCAGUGGUUUUAGUUAAGGUAAUUAAUGGAAACUAGCCAUUUGCGAAAUGCACUCAUUAAAAAUAAGCUGUGUGAUCUCCAUCUUGUUAGCUAAAAUGUUGUUUUUAUUCAAGAGCAUAAAGAAGUGUCGUAGGUAGUUCCUCUAUGAAAAGAGUCCAUAAUUGAAACCAGACUCUAGUCACUCUGUUCCCUAGGGUCGGGUUUUCCAGACUACCCGUGUGGUACCGAUCAAGAAUCUCCUCAGGGCCGCCCAUCAAAAUUAGCCUACAUUUAGGCAAUUGUUUGUGUAUUUCACUAACAUGUUGGGGGUAAAAAUCACAGUAUAAUGCUUGUUUGAAUGUCAACCCCAAUACGUUCAUUUCAUCAUCACCAAUCAACUGCAUUAGGCUUAUGCCUAAAAAUUACUUUAACUGCCACCAGUCAUUUUUAUAUGGCUAGGUAUACCAGCUUAUCAGAACGGGAGUAAGAUUAGCAGACACUUUUUCUAAACCCAAAAAGGACAACUUUGAAAUAUUAUGCAGUGAAAACAGCCAACAAUCCAACUGAGAUUUUAGUAUCCACAUUGUGGGCCUCUUCACAUAAAUCAUGACAGAUUUGACAAAGAUUUACUAAUGAAGUGAGAGACUGGUAGGGGCCUACUGGCUGGAUGUAGUGAGAGACUGGUAGGGGCCUACUGGCUGGAUGUAGUGAGAGACUGGUAGGGGCCUACUGGCUGGAUGUAGUGAGAGACUGGUAGGGGCCUACUGGCUGGAUGUAGUGAGAGACUGGUAGGGACCUACUGGCUGGAUGUGGUGAGAGACUGGUAGGGGCCUACUGGCUGGAUGUAGUGAGAGACUGGUAGGGGCCUACUGGCUGGAUGUAGUGAGAGACUGGUAGGGGCCUACUGGCUGGAUGUAGUGAGAGACUGGUAGGGACCUACUGGCUGGAUGUGGUGAGAGACUGGUAGGAGCCUACUGGCUGGAUGUAGUGAGAGACUGGUAGGGGCCUACUGGCUGGAUGUGGUGAGAGACUGGUAGGGGCCUACUGGCUGGAUGUAGUGAGAGACUGGUAGGGGCCUACUGGCUGGAUGUAGUGAGACACUGGUAGGGCCUACUGGCUGGAUUUACUAGUCUCAGAAACCCAGACAUAGGAGCAAGAGCACGAGGUCUUGGGAGGCUGUCAGAUUCUCGUAGACAUGCCGAAAUGGGAAGACAUUUUUCUGGUGGAGGUUUCUACCUGAAACCUGUUCAGCAAGGUUGCAGAAGGUUCAGAUAGAAAAUCUAGUCUUUGUGAUGUGGUGUAGGUGGUCUGUGUGUGUUGUGGUGUAGGUCUGUGUGUGUUGUGGUGUAGGUGGUCUGUGUGUGUUGUGGUGUAGGUGGUCUGUGUGUGUUGUGGUGUAGGUGGUCUGUGUGUGUUGUGGUGUAGGUGGUCUGUGUGUGUUGUGGUGUAGGUGGUCUGUGUGUGUUGUGGUGUAGGUCUGUGUGUGUGUGUUGUGGUGUAGGUGUAGGUAGUCUGUGUGUAUUGUGGUGUAGGUGGUCUGUGUGUGUUCUAGUGUAGGUGGGUCUGUGUGUGUUGUGGUGUAGGUGUGUGUUGUGGUGUAGGUAGUCUGUGUGUGUUGUGGUGUAGGUCGUCUGUGUGUGUUGUGGGGUAGGUGGUGUGUGUGUUGUGGGGUAGGUGGUCUGUGUGUGUUGUGGGGUAGGUGGUGUGUGUGUUGUGAGGUAGGUGGUCUGUGUGUGUUGUGGGGUAGGUGGUCUGUGUGUGUGUGUGUGUGUGUGUGUGUGUGUGUGUGUGUGUGUGUGUGUGUGUGUGUGUGUGUGUGUGUGUGUGUGUUGUGUAGGUGGUGUGUGUAGGUGGUGUGUGUGUGUGUGUGUGUUGUGGUGUAGGUGGUGUGUGUGUGUUGUGGUGUAGGUGGUAUGUGUGUGUGUUGUGGUGUAGGUGGCUGUGUGUGUGGUGGUGUAGGUGGUCUGUGUGUGUGUUGUGGUGUAGGUGGCUGUGUGUGUGGUGGUGUAGGUGGUCUGUGUGUGUGUGUUGUGUAGGUGGUGUGUAUUGUGGUGUGUGUGUUUUCCCCCCAUUCUGUUUGUUCAGUAUAUUUGACAGUAUACAUUACAUUUUGUUCUAUACAGUAUGUUUCGUUUAGUUUAUUUAUACAUAGGUCUGUUACUCGAUUAAAAAAUGUGUUGAUUAUUAUUAUUUUUAGGUUAGUUGAGUAGUCUGUAAAUGUUUAUCUGGUCUCCAUCCCUGUGUAGGUAUAUUUACAUUAUAAACAGCCUGGAGGUGGCAAUAGGCUCUAUAGGCUCUAUGUGUGUAUUGGGAAGAGCCAACAGUGGAAGAGCCAACAGUGGAAGAGCCAACAGUGGAAGAGCCAACAGUGCCAGUCUUGGUAGAUUCAGGUCGCUUUCCCCUGCUCAGAUGUUGCACGCAUCAACCAAUGCUUACAUACAACAUCAUCGACCGUGUCAUCGACUGACUGAAUGCUAGAACAUAUGAUGUGGUUAGCUGAUAGGUAAAAAACACCUAUCCAGUCCUGAUAAGAUCUGGCAAGAGUCAGCAACGCCUGGGCAGAGGAAUGUGUCUGCUAUGCAUGAUGACGUCAUAUCCCUACAACGAGAGGGAGGCCGACACAUUGACAGUACUAUUCAUAGACAAUAGGUGGCAGUAUAGUAUCAUAGAUCCUGCUUGUACUAAAGCUUCAAUGAGAACCUUUCCUUCUCUAGGCUCUACUCUCCAGGCCCUUUACUCUUUUCUAUUUUUGCCAAUUGCCUGCCACUGGCAUUAAACAAAGCAUGUGUGUCCAUGUAUGCUGAUGAUUCAACCAUAUACGCUAUGCGUCAGCAACCACAGCUAAUGAAGACACUGAAACCUUUAGCAAAGAGUUGCAGUCUGUUUUGGAAUGGGUGGCCAGUAAUAAACUGGUCCUGAACAUCUCUAAAACUAAGAGCAUUGUAUUUGGUAAAAAUCAUUCCUUAAGUUCUAGACAGCUGAAUCUGGUAAUGAACGGUGUGGCUGUUGAACAAGUUGAGGAGGAUAAAUUACUUGGCGAUACCUUUUGAUUGUAAACUGUCAUGGUCAAAAUAUAUAGAUUCAAUGGUUGUAAAGAUGGGGAGAGGUCUGUCCGUAAUAAAGAGAUACUCAGCUUUUUUGACACCACACUCCAGAAAGCAAGUUCUGCAGGAAUAUAGUUUUAUCUUAUCUUAAGGUAACAUAACUAAAUGACUAUCACACCGUAGCACUCACUUCUGUCAUCAUGAAGUGCUUUGAGAGACUUGUCAAGGAUCAUAUCACCUCCACCCUACCUGAUACCCUAGAGCCACUUCAAUUUGGGUACCGCCCAAAUAGGUCCACAGACGAUGCAAUCGCCAUCACACUGCACAUGGCCCUAUCCCACCUGGACAAGAGGAAUACCUAUGUAAGAAUGCUGUUCAUUGACUACAGCUCAGCAUUCAAAACCAUAGUGCCCUCCAAGCUCAUCAUUAAGCUUGAGGCCUUGGGUCUCAACCCCGCCCUGUGCAAUUGGGCCCUGGACUUCUUGACGGGCCGCCCCCAGGUGGUGAAGGUAGGAAACAACAUCUCCACUUCGCUGAUCCUCAACACUGGGGCUCCACAAGGGGGCUUGCUCAGCCCCCUCUUGUACUCCCUGUUCACCCAUGAC
rnacentral:lncRNA from 1 species